rnacentral:rRNA from 1 species
GACGAACGCUGGCGGCGUGCUUAACACAUGCAAGUCGAACGAAGAGCGAUGGACGCUUGCUUCUAUCAAUCUUAGUGGCGCACGGGUGAGUAACGCGUAAUCAACCUGCCCUUCAGAGGGGGACAACAGUUGGAAACGACUGCUAAUACCGCAUACGAUCUGACCUCGGCAUCGAGGAUAGAUGAAAGGUGGCCUCUACAUGUAAGCUAUCACUGAAGGAGGGGAUUGCGUCUGAUUAGCUAGUUGGAGGGGUAACGGCCCACCAAGGCGAUGAUCAGUAGCCGGGCUGAGAGGAUGAACGGCCACAUUGGGACUGAGACACGGCCCAGACUCCUACGGGAGGCAGCAGUGGGGAAUCUUCCGCAAUGGACGAAAGUCUGACGGAGCAACGCCGCGGGAGUGAUGACGGCCUUCGGGUUGUAAAGCUCUGUUAAUCGGGACGAAAGGCCUUUUUGCGAAUAGUGAGAAGGAUUGACGGUACCGGAAGAGAAAGCCACGGCUAACUACGUG